CCCUUUCUUCACAAGUUUCAACUCUCUUCCAUCUCUCUCUCUCCCUCUCCCCAAGAAACUAUUUUCCAAUUUCUUGGCUUUUACAAAAUUUCAAUAAUUUGAAUUCCAAACAAAUCAUCAUGCCGAUGAAGAAAUCGAGCCUCUUUGCAGCCUUUGUUGCUGCUGCUACUGCUACUGCUACUGCCUUCUCUGCUUCCUCCUUAUCUUCUAGCUGUAACUCCAAUGUUAAGGAAGCUGGCUCAAACAAAGAUCAACAGAGAUCGGCUUCCAUGGAUAAAUUUGCACCAAGGUAUGAUGGGUUGAGGUUCAUUGAAACGCUGGUCACUGCUCACAGAUGAUGAGAGAAUCAACAUCUGGCCUUGAUAGCUCCAUGGAUGAUAAUGAUUAGUUCUACUAAUUUUAGCUAGCACCAAUCUUUUCUCUUUAAUUAAGAGAGAAAAGGAUGGUAUAAAGAAAGUUUGACCUUUUUUCUUUAGUUUCUUUGAGCGGAUCUGAUUAGGAGAACAUCUGUAAUGCUUGAGUUGAAAUUUUGUAAUGGUGUUUUCACUCAAAAAUUGCUUGUCCUGAUCAUAAUUCAUGGCUGAUUUUCUUUGUGCCAUCGAUUUUUCUGGGAUUAGAAAAUGAUUGCUUGCUAAAUUAGUCAUGUUCCAUUACUUAUCUUUUCACAGCAAUAUUUUGUACAAGGCAGGCAUCGUUAGGUUACGCGUGGAUGUCUGAUGGAUGACAUUGUUUUGUAGCUCUACAAGUCCAAGAUGUGGUUCCAUGGAAGUCCCAAAGGGGAAUUCCAAGUUAUGAACAAUUUUCUUUCAAGUAUGGGAACAAAAUACUUUGUCCUUAUUGACCUUGCUAAAUUAGAGUAUCUGAGAGCCAAAAAUCAAGUACUUCCAUGCUUGGAUGAAUUUGGAAGCUCAUUUGGGAUCAGCCAAGUUCAAUUGGCAUGUCGCUUGCAUCCAUUAUUUUGUUGUUCUUGAGUUGACAAGUAGGCCAACUAAAGCCCCAUUGGGUUUACUUCAAAAUUAGUUCUCUUGGAAUGACAUAGCCAAAUUCUUGAUUUUGCACC